AGAGUUUGAUCAUGGCUCAGGAUGAACGCUAGCGGCAGGCCUAAUACAUGCAAGUCGAACGAUACUAUCCAGCUUGCUGGAUAGGAAAGUGGCGCACGGGUGCGUAACGCGUAUGCAACCUACCUUAAUCAGGGGGAUAGCCCGAAGAAAUUCGGAUUAACACCGCAUAAAAACACAGUACAGCAUUGUACAAUGUUCAAAUAUUUAUAGGAUUAAGAUGGGCAUGCGUGUCAUUAGCUAGUUGGCGGGGUAACGGCCCACCAAGGCGACGAUGACUAGGGGAUCUGAGAGGAUGACCCCCCACACUGGUACUGAGACACGGACCAGACUCCUACGGGAGGCAGCAGUAAGGAAUAUUGGUCAAUGGAGGCAACUCUGAACCAGCCAUGCCGCGUGCAGGAAGACAGCCCUCUGGGUCGUAAACUGCUUUUAUUCGGGAAUAAACCACAUUACGUGUAGUGUGCUGAAUGUACCGAAGGAAUGAGGAUCGGCUAACUCCGUGCCAGCAGCCGCGGUAAUACGGAGGAUCCAAGCGUUAUCCGGAUUUAUUGGGUUUAAAGGGUGCGUAGGCGGCUUAUUAAGUCAGGGGUGAAAGACGGUGGCUCAACCAUCGCAGUGCCCUUGAUACUGAUGAGCUUGAAUGAACUAGAGGUAGGCGGAAUGUGACAAGUAGCGGUGAAAUGCAUAGAUAUGUCACAGAACACCGAUUGCGAAGGCAGCUUACUAUGGUUUUAUUGACGCUGAGGCACGAAAGCGUGGGGAUCAAACAGGAUUAGAUACCCUGGUAGUCCACGCCCUAAACGAUGAAUACUCGCUGUUAGCGAUAUACAGUUAGCGGCUAAGCGAAAGCGUUAAGUAUUCCACCUGGGGAGUACGCCCGCAAGGGUGAAACUCAAAGGAAUUGACGG
rnacentral:rRNA from 1 species